UACGUAGGGGGCGAGCGUUGUCCGGAUUUAUUGGGCGUAAAGAGCUCGUAGGCGGUUUGGUAAGUCGGGUGUGAAAUCUCCACGCUCAACGUGGAGGGGCCACUCGAUACUGCCAUGACUCGAGUCCGGUAGAGGAGUGUGGAAUUCCCGGUGUAGCGGUGAAAUGCGCAGAUAUCGGGAGGAACACCCGUAGCGAAGGCGGCACUCUGGGCCGGAACUGACGCUGAGACACGAAAGCGUGGGUAGCAAACAGG
rnacentral:rRNA from 1 species